rnacentral:rRNA from 1 species
UACGUAGGGCGCAAGCGUUGUCCGGAAUUAUUGGGCGUAAAGAGCUCGUAGGCGGCUUGUCACGUCGGAUGUGAAAGCCCGGGGCUUAACUCCGGGUCUGCAUUCGAUACGGGCUGGCUAGAGUGUGGUAGGGGAGAUCGGAAUUCCUGGUGUAGCGGUGAAAUGCGCAGAUAUCAGGAGGAACACCGGUGGCGAAGGCGGGUCUCUGGGCCAUUACUGACGCUGAGGAGCGAAAGCGUGGGGAGCGAACAGG